rnacentral:lncRNA from 1 species
CCAAGACAUUGCUUUGUAAAUUGAGGUGGAGAAGUUGUUACAUGAUUCUGUCAGCCUAGUAAUCAAGAAAAGAUUUUUGAAAGACAAUGCUGAUUCCUGUAUCAAUACUAAUAGUUUGGAAAAUUUUUAUAUGUUAUAAUGAAAUACAAGCAAGCUUUUAAUAUUGGCCCUUCAAAACGUCAAGAAACUUGGUGGUACUAAUAAAUCACAUUGUUUUGCAUUAUUGUAACAUGUUUUUCUGCUUGUAGAAGAAAUACAUGCUUGCCAUUAAAAAUAUAAAAUGCAUGAAGAACAAAAGCAUCAUUCAAAUCUAUUUGGAGAUAAUCAUGUUAUAAUAUUCUUGUGUAUUCCUUGCAGACUUUCAAAUAUGUAUUUGUAAUUUUACAUGGUUAACUUUUAAAAAAUCAUAUAUUCAGAUGUCUAUGUAAAUACAGAGCUACAGUAUCACCUUCAAUGGCUAUAUAAUUUUUACAUCGUGUGCACCAGAACUUCUUUUACCAAUACUAAUUUUAAUGAUGGUUUACAUUUAUUUUUAGUGCUUACAACAUAACAGGCACCGUUACAGGGCUUUGCUUGUAUUAAUCCAUUUCAUCCUCACAGCCUUAUUAUUCUUGUUUCUUAGAGGUAAGGAAACACACCAAAAAGUGAAGCAAUUUCUCCAAAUUUUUAAUGUUUGACAUUUUAGAGGUUAACAAUACUUUGGUAUUAUAAACGAUACUGCCACGUAUCUUUUGCUCAUGUUUUCGAAUGAUAAAUUUCAAAAAUAAAUAGACCUGCUGAGUCCAAAAGUAUUCACAUUUUUAAAAGCUUGUUACAGGCUUCCAAAUAUUUCCCUUAAGAAAGUUGUUAACUUACACUCAACCAACGGUAUGUGAAUGUACAGUUGCCUACAUCCCUGAUUCUGUUACUUUGAAUGAUGAAAAACAUCUGCUACUUUGACAUUUUCACUUUUGGAAGUGGAACUUCAUUUUAAACGCGCUUUUGUAAUAAUGGCUUGUUAUACUAUGAUACUAAUCUUCUUGUUGCCACACCAGCAUUUGUUUCCAUGCUACUUCUGAGUUGUGAAUUAGGUAAAUUUACAUAAUUUCUAAUUACGUGCAAAAUGACCUUACUAAGUCCUUUGCAAGUGCGACGCAAAAUCUAGUAGAAGCUCCUUCCACUUUCUCCACGAUAGUGGAUGAUUUUUGUCACACACACACUAUAAAUUCAUAUUUGAAGUUGCCGGCAAUCAUGAGUCAAUUUCUAACUUCAGUUUUUCAGCUUUCCUUUUUUCUGUUGCUCAGUUUCAGAAGGCUGUCUGGGGCUGUGAAAGGUCCGUUUCUCUUCAUCAGCUGCUUGGUGACUGCACGCUUAGUCAGGCGGCGCCGACGCCCCAGUAGAAGAGUUUUCCGCAGCCUGGAAGCCGGGCGCUCGGGGGCUCCCGGGAAGGUGCCAGCGCCCUGACACUCCCCUCUUCAGGGAUGCCAGCCAAUCCUUCAGCUCACAUGACUUCAUCAGCCAAGUUCUGGUCACCUCACACAGCGGGUUAAACUGAUAGUCUCUUUACUUAGAUUACCCAAAGGAGUUCUCACACCCUUCGCGGGACUACAGUGUUCGACACAAGACCAAAUUUGGGGCUGGGGGAGAACAAAAAAAAUCUCGCGGACUCUAACUCGACCCUCUUUCUUUUUCCUCAGUCUCUGAUUCACUCCUGGGGUGGUUAGUCGUCC